GUGCUGGCUCCUUAACAGACCAGCUGAGGACUGGGCCUGCUUCUUUCUCCUUCCCUCGUCACCACAACCCUCUGAGGGGCCCUGAACUUCCCACCCCACCCCCAGCAUCUUCGGGGUGGGAGCCAGGCGGUUGCCGGGACAACGCCCAUUCUUCCAGCCUUGCCUGUCUGAAUCCAAAAGAGUGGGACACUGGUCACCUGAAACUACUCCCUCCACCCAGAUGUGGCACGGGGCUGGGGAGAGGGCCAGGCUGGGGUCCUGCUGUGCUGAGGGGGCCAUGGGGUGAGUGAAAGAAUGGGCACAGACAGGAUCAGAGAGUCAGCUCCACAUUCAGUCCUGCAGUGUAAGGGCCGAGUGACCUUGGACAAGUUACUAAACCUGUCUGUCCCCGCUUCCCCUGUCAUGCAGGAACCAGGGUACCUAGCCUACAGGUUUGCUGUGACGAGUUGAUGAGGUGCCAGAGGUUGGUCCCCAGCACACAAUUCUUGAUCCCCAGCCUGUAACCGGCAGCAGCAGCCUGUCAUCGCCCCUGGAACCCCAUUCUUGACCUGUCUGUACAAGGAGGCAAGCACCCAGAGGUGAAACGACCUUCUCCAUCACCUGGCACCAGCACCCAGCACAGGGUGUGGCCUGGAGCCCCUUAUCUCUGGGCUCAGAAUACCUGUCCCCUCUUCCCUUACUGGGCUCAGCUAAAUUGUCACUUCCUUCAGGAAGCCUGCCCUGACUGCCAGGGCAGACCCAGUCCCUCCCUGUCUUCCCUGAGCAUCUUGGCUACAUGGAACCACAUGGCAGCUGGACCCACCUCAGCCCUGCCUCUAUAGUCACUUCCCCCGGCUUCCAGGCCAAGCCCCAGUCCCCUGUGCCUGGAAACAGGCUGAUGCCCAGCCCUCACACCCUCAUUCCAAGGCUGCAGUGUUGGGAGUAAAGGACAGCUGGGACUGUCCCAGGGCCCAGAAGAGUCAGGGGCCAUUGCUCUGCCAGCAGGGCCAAGUCUGGCAGGUGACCCUCAUUUAUUUCUGGAAAGGUUCCCCCUGCCAGGGUCCUCCACCUGAACUGUGCAGUGUCCUGCUGCCAGUGCUGGGAUGGCUACCAACCCCCUCCACUCUGGGACCAGAGAGCCCAGGGGGGCUCUCUCGCCCUCUCCUACUAGGGAUGAGAGCAGCUCCGGGAAAAGGGGGCUGGGAGAACCCAAGCAGCCAGGUCUGGAAACAUCCACUCUGUGUGUCCUAGGCCAACACCCUUAACUUCUCUGAGCUACAGUUUCCUCAUCUGUAAAAUGGGGAUGAUGGCACCUAUCCCAUGGUGUUACUGUAGAAAAAAUUACUUGUCCUUUCUUUUUGCUUGGCAGGUAGAGACAAGACGAAGGCCUGGAUCUUGAGAAUGUGCAUACGAUGAUUCUCCACGAGCAUCUUGGCUCUUCACAAAUCUGUUAACAAAUCAUGGGAGCAGCCGCAUGAGUCUUGGUGAAGUACGGGCUUCAGUCUUCAUCGGUGAGUGUCUUUCUGAUUUUGGUACAGGGUGAUGAUGACUUCACAGAAUGACUUUGGGAGUGUUCCCUCCUCUUCAGUCUUUUGGAAGAGUUUGAGAAGGGUCAAAUGGCAGCUGAUGGUCUGCAGCUGGUGCUCAUCUGUGAACAAACCCGCCCAAAGGCCCCGCUCCCAGGAGAUGCCCACAGGACCAGCACCACAUUAUGGAAAGCAACCUGCUUUGGAGCCCCAGUCCUGAACCAGCCCAGCAGCACCGUGCAGGUGGCUGGCAGCCUGGGAAGUCACAGGUUUUGGCCCCAGCACCAACAGUGAACACUGGGCGAGCAAGGGACCAGCCCAGAAACGCUCAGUAUGAGGAGGACUGUGGCAGGAGCCAGCCUCUCCAGAACCCUGGCUGCUGAGGAUGGACACAGGAGGGACCCCGUGACUCAGAAGGUGGGAAAAAUGAACAAAUGGCUGGCAGUGUUCUUGGGAACAAUCCCUACCUCUGAGUUCAGGGGGCAAAUGGGCUAGAUCAUUACCAGCUGGAAGGUCAAUGGCGAAGGAUAGUGGGGGCUGGUGGGGCUGGCCAUCCUUCAAGUUGAGAUGAGCCCGGCCCUAGAGGGAUGUGCAGUGAGAACCCUGGGGCCCCUCUGUGGUCCCCAGCUCCUAUCUGCUUCUGGUCUUGGGGGGGCGGGCCACAUUCCAGGGCUGGUGUAGUCCUGGCGGAGGAUGGGGUCAUUGGUGCCUCUCAGGCUAGGCUCCGAAGGGAGGUGACAGGGUGGCUCCAGGAUAUCUCCUUGUUUAACAGCAUGUGUCACCCAGGAGCCCCCCACCCAUCUGUGUCUGCACCCGGGCACAGCAUCCUGGAGCAUGGCUGGUCUGACCGGGAGGUGGCAAGGUCACUGGGGACAAAGCUCGACUCUGGAGAGGGUCCAUUUAACCCUGGGGUCGGGGUGUCAUUUGCUAAUGACGCCUUGUGGGCAUCGCUGAGGUCACCCAAAGGUUCCCUCCCUCCAACAACAUGUCAAUUUUCUCCUCCGCACCUUCUGCCCUCAGUCCCAGUGCACACGUUCCCAGAGGCCUGGGACACCCCCUGUGGGGUGACAUCAUAACACUGAGAGGGAAGCUGUGGCCAAAGGCCAGGCCAUCAGUGUUGCCACCACCCCCUCGCCAAACUCAGGCCCCCCCCCACCCCCACCCAGCCAGGACUUGCUGCAACAGGUGACCCCAAGGCUCUACAAAUGUCCUCUCCAAGGCCAGGGGUGUCCUGGCAUCCAUCCUCACCCCUCUGGAAGGUCCUUGCCCCUGCAAACCCCUGCCAAGCAGGAAAGGCCUCGGCUAGACACACGGGCACUGGUGACGGUUUCUCUUUCUGAAGAUCAGAGCAGCCCCCGAGGCCGCUACUCCCAGAGCUGGUGGGGCCGGGCGGGGCGUCCUGCUGUGGCAGGCAGGGUCAGGGCCACCAUGUGACAAUGAGGGCUGCAGCCGUGGGGCAGGGAGAAACGCGUAGAGUCUGUGGAGGAAUGAGAGGGAGAAGAUAUGAAUCACACCCACCUUGUUCCAUCCUAACCUGGAACCAGAUGAAGAGCCAGAGGCCACGUGGAAGGCCCAGGUGUGAGGGCGCAGCUCUCGCUCAGCUGCAGUGCAGCCACUCAUCGGUCCUUCAGCCCUGAGCACCCUCCACCUGGCGGGCACCGGGCCAGGGAAACAGGAGGACAGACACAGCUACCAUCCCCAAGGAUCGUCCUCCAGUGGGAGAAACUACAGGUUUGUACAAAAGUAUACACAGCCAUCGUACACUGACCGUGCCAGCUGUGAGAAAUAAGAAACUAAGAGAUUAGAACCAGGACUUUAACUGGGGUGGACGGUGUAGGAAGGUGGUGAAAUUUAACCUGAGACCUGAAGGACAGACAGGAGUCUGCUAGAGGAGCCAAUAGCAGUCUGGGCAGAAGGAAUGGCAUGUGCAAAGGCCCCAGGGUGGGAAUCUGGCACUUUUGAGAAACUAAAUGUAGGCCAGAGAGAUAGAAACAAUGAGGGGCAGAAAAGAUCCGAGAGCCAGGGGACAGCCAGCCCAUUCACUCCUGCACUUGACAUGUUUACCACACGGCCCUGCGGAACGGAUGCAGUGGUAAACGAGGCAGGACAGUCCCUGUGGUCAUGACACUCACACUCAGAACUGGGUUCUCGAUCACUCUGGGGCCCGCUCUGAGCUUCGUGUUUCCCCGUGCAAUGAGGACACCUGCCUCCCAGGGAAGGAUGGAGUCAUCUAAUGCACGUGGAAGGCUUGAUGUAGACCCUGGAAGCAACUAAGGAAACCCAGGUGGGCACAAGGGUUUCCUUGUGACCAUUUCUACAGCCUAACUCACAGCAACAGCUUGGCACAACCCUAGCCCGACGCCAAGCAGGGAUGUGUCCAGAAGUGGUGCCCUUGGCCGGAGAAGCAGGUCCAGGAAGGACCCAGAGGGGUGUGGCGGAGGAAUGCUCAGGACAGCGAGGGAGGGGCUGGGAGUUCCCACGAAGGGUCUUCCAUGCUGUCCCCCAACCCCAUUUCCAUGCUGGUGGCUCACUUCCACUGGCCAGCGUUCAGUGCCACGGGCUCAGAGGUGGCCCCAACGAAGGAGGCAGGCUUGGGCCAUGGGACAGUUCCCUACGUGCUGAGCUGCCCCGGGGUGGGGGGGUCUCACCCCAGCUUCGAAAGGGAAGAGAGAAGAAGCCCCCCACCACAGGCGUCUCCAGCCCUCCAGGAGGCGGGGACAACCCCACCUUUGCAAACAUCAGGUAACAGUGACUGCACGCUUGGUCUUCAGCCUGGGGUGUAGCCACCAGUCCACCUGUGUGGCCUGGGUGGGGUGACCGCUGUGUCCUCAGUGGGGCUGAGGAAGGCCCCCCAAACCCCUCCAAGCUCCUCCCAAGCUAGAAACUAGGUCCCAAACAUGCCAAGAUGGUCUAAGUGGGUGAACCCCAAGCUCAGGGACCCAGGCCCCUCCACUCCUCCCCAGUGCUGGGGAGGAGGGGCUCUGGGUGACCCCUGGGCUGUCCCAAGGAGGAAGUGGUAGCACCCUACGGGCAUGCUGAAGGCAGAGGAGCUGGGAGCCGCCCGGCUCCCGGACUCCUCCCGGAUCACUCAGGCACUUCCCCGGGCCUUCCUGGGUUGGACCAUCCAAAUUUUUGGCAGAUACUUCUUGGAGAACUAAUUUCCUCAUCUCUGCAGAGCGGAUGUGGGGUCAGGGGUCACCCACACCACCUGUGUGCAGCAGGCCCCAGUGAACCCUGUUACUUACUAUGGGUGUGUGAUCCCAACAGUGGGGCAUGGAGCCUUCCAGAAGGAGGGGCUGGCCGGGGACAUCCAGAGGGCCCUGCCACCCAAAGCAUCCCAAAACCAUUAUCACCGCCAUCCCCCACCCCGAUCACAACCUCGUACAAAGGCUGACUCUGACCCCAGCCCCCUUUCUACUCACCUAGUUUAAGCGAUACAAUUUUUAUGCCCAUGUUCCUGAGGGGAAAGCUGAGGCUCAGGGAAGUUAAGCAACCAGGGUCAAGCAGCCAGCAAGAGUCAGAGCCAACAGUCAAGCGGGCUUCCCUUCCUAAGCCCCCGGCAAAGUAAAGGGUGCACUGGGUCCUAAUGCCUGACCUGCCCCCCACCCCUCCCACUUGGGGAAGAACUGCCCUCCAGGGCCCUGGGGUUGGGCAAACACUGGACAGGGGCAGAGCUGCCCAGGUGAUUGUAGGAACAGGGACUCAAGGAAAUGCAAAUGUUCCCUUUGAAACGCACUCCCUAGGAGACCAAGACAUGUGGCUGGUUAGACUUUUCUCCCAAAGAGGGAGAGAGCAGGUUAAAACAAAACAGAGAAACCUUAAAAGAGAACACAGCCCCAUUCCCCUCCAGGCUGGCCUGAUGAGGCCAAACACCCCGUGUGCAGGGAUUUGAUGCCUUCUCUGGGCCUGCCUCACCUGCCGCGGGCGUAUCCCUUUAAGGGCCUCGAAGGCCCGGCUGGAUCUGAUUUAAUAGCUGAAACAUCAGAUUGCAUUCAGAAGCAAUCCUGGCUAAGUAUGAGUGCUCAGCCAUUCGAGUCAGCAGCCGCCGGGUCAUUAAGGAAAUGAAAUUUUUCAGCUCAGGCCAGCUCCUGACGGGGCUCCUGUGAGCUGUAACCGCACAGGGCCCAGGAAGGGCUCCUCAGAGCCCCCGGGACCCCACGCCUCCUGUCCCCCAUCCACCUAGGGUCCCUCGACCUCACAGCCCCAAGGGCUGGGAGCUGGGACCUGACCAUGGAGGACCUCCUCUGGUGCUUCUAUCACCCCAUUCCAGCCCCUGCCCCCAAGCCCCUGGCAGGCUGGCUCGGGAGACCUUAAUCCAACCUCAGGACUUGCCGCAGAUCCCGCCCCAGAAGGGCUGCAGGAGAAAUCCUGCCCUCCCCUCGGAAGAGGCCCUCCAGGACAGGCUUGGUCCUUCCUUCUGCCCUCUCUCCCCUUCCUGACUGCCCCCUCGGUCCAAGGACCUGGGCAAGUCCAUCCUCCUGUCUCCCUGUCCAUCACAGAGAACACCUGCCUGUGUCCCUGUGCUCCCAGCAUCCUCUGUCACCUUCCCUUUCUGUGUAAUGAUCUCCAGUAACGAUGGCGCCAAGAACAGAGAGCACCCUACCUCGGGGUAACCGAGGCAGCCCUGCAGCAACCCCGCUGGAGGCUGGGAGGUUGGGGGCUGUCCCUUACCUAAUCAUGACGCCUGCUUCGAGGAAGACCUCUCCAGUUUGUGGAGGGACAGGGGACAAGAGGCUCCCUUGCACACCGGCGAACACACAGCUGCCCCGAGGAGAGGCAGGACCCAGCCCCAGGGCUAGCUGGUCCCAGAGCCCCGGUCCCACCAGCUGUCCCCAGCGGUGCCCGCCCACCUGGGCCAGCACCUGCCUCCCUGCGAGCGCUCGGUCCACUCCCCUCACAGGCCCCCGGCAUGGGGCUCUCACCUUGGCUGCACCCUGGACUCACCUGGAGCUACACGGCUACAAGGCCUGGGCUCAGAGACCCUGACUCAGGUGGUCUGGGCUUAGAACUUGCAGAGCACAGACUCUGGCCUGGCCCAGAAAGAGAGCUGGCCUUGGCCCUUGGCUUCUGGGAGGUGACCUGGAUCACAUCUGAUAGACAGGAGUGUCUGUUUAGGGUCAGGGUGGCCACAUCCGUGUGACUUCAGGUGGGAGCCUUGGGUCACACUGGACCAGGUGAUGUGAGAGUUACCACAAUCAAUCCAUCAUGCCUAUGUGAUGGGGCCGCGAUAAAAACUCUGGACCCCAAAGCCUGUGUGAGCUUCCCUGCUGGGCAAUCUUCUGUGUGUACUGUCACUCAAUAAAGCUGGCAGAGAGACACUGUCCUGGCUCCAUGGGGAGCACACAAGGGAUGCUUUGCAUUUGUACCCCCAGCCAAGGCUCUGUUCCCCGCACCUCUGCCCUUGGCUGAUCUGAUUCUGUAUCCUUGCCCCAUAAUAAACCAUAACCAUGAAUAUACA